UUUCUCUUUUCCAGUUUGAAUUGAGUGUGGAGACAGUAGACAAAUUCUUGCCUAGCUUGGAAAUGUCAUCUACAUCCAUGGCCGCUGGAUCUAUCUGGCUGGUAGCAGUGACCUUUGUCUUCGACUUGGUGGUUCUAGGAUAACGAGGAGGGCUAAACAAUGACAGUUGUGGCCUUCGUCUUUGACUCCAUGUGUUGUUUUAGGGAGCGUGACAUCGAUCGGUGUCGAGGAUGAUGUGGCCUGGCAGAUUCAGGCAGCAGUGGCUUCCUUCUCUCCCUCCAGGUUCGUGGAUAUCAGAUUGGUGCUUUGGAGAAUGGGAUGCUUGUGAGGAUUUAAGCAGCAAGAACUGGACAUGAACUCCCUUACUCCCUUCAUUUAGGAAGGAUAUACAAUAGGAGGGCGAGAUGGCGGCAAGGAACCUGCAGCCUGAUGAUCAAUGGAGGAAGAAGCCAUCUUUAUACACGCCUUGCUCUGUGCAACAGCUUUAUUUAUUUACUCUGGUUGUAAUUAAUGCAACACAACUGAGAAUUCAGAUUUGGAAGAAUCUCGUAUUGCAUCAUGUCGCUGUUGUAUGUGUAACAGUGAGCUCGGAGCCUAGGACGGGAUCUGCGGAAACUUGUGCUUUAGUGCAUCAGCUUUGAUUUGAUGCUGAU